ensembl:lncRNA
GUGAGUUCGUUGCACACGCGGUGUGGUACAACACAGAACUCUACGUUCGCAAUCAAAGGUUCAUAAUUAUCUUUAUACCGUGUACUAAAAAUGUGUAAGUUUCUCUUCAUAACGCCACCUCAAGCGUUUUAUUAGCCGUUUUCUGUUAUUACUUUUUGCUGGAGAAGGAGGGGUGGGCAGCUGAAAGGAGUCGUAGCGAGACAUGUUGUUUCGGCCUGGCAUUCGAGAGGGCCUAGUGCACUGUUCGGUUAACUUCUUGUGUCUGAGGUUUUUCACUUUAACAUGAAUGAAGUUGAUGGGUUUUAGGCACUGUGGUAACUGAAUAUCACUAAGGUUUUUAUUGACGAAGUGACUUUUAGAUUGGUUCAGCUGCUGCUCACUAACUCUCACGUUCCUCACAGGUACAUUAUGGUAUAAUUUUAAAUUAUUAUUUAUAGUCUUAUUGUUAAUAGCUUCAGUCGCGUUGGUAUUUAAUUUUUCAUUUGCUCGUUUAGCUAUGUAUGACAGUUAACAAUGUUGGUGUAUUACAAUUAUUUACGCGUGUAGGCCACUCCAACUCUCGAUAUUUCAAAUGGAUUAGUGUGCUCUCUCAGAGCUGGGAGAUUUCAUCCUUAUUUUAACAUAUUACUCGAGACGGUGUUUCUCACAGCGUUCUCGGGUUCAUGCGUUCAUGCGUCCAUGCAUACAUGUCUCCUACUCAGACUUUUCCCCUACACGGGUAUUUAAUUUUUCAUUUGCUUGUUUAGCUAUGUAUGACAGUUAACAAUUUUGGUGUAUUACAAUUAUUUAUGUGUGUUGGCCACUCCAACUCACACUCGAUAUUUUGAAUAGAUUAGUGUGCUCUCUGGGAGAUUUCAUCCUUAUUUUAACAUAUUACUCGAGACGGUGUUUCUCACAGCGUUCUACGGGUUCAUUCGUUCUACGGGUUCAUGCGUUCUACGGGUUCAUGCGUUCUACGGCGUUCUACGGCGUUCUACGGGUUUACGCGUUCUACGGGUUUACGCGUUCUACGGGUUUACGCGUUCUACGGGUUUACGGGUUUACGCGUUCUACGGGUUUACGCGUUUAUGCGUUCUUGCGUUCAUGUGCAAAUGCGUACACGUCUCCUACUCAGACUUUUUCCCCUACACGGGGCCUGACUUUCGCCGAUGUCACCUUCUCUUUCUUGCAAGGCAUUUUUCCAUCUAAAAGCGAUAGCCUAGGCGCAGCUGUUACUAUUAUCAUUUCAAGAAUCAACGACUCUCUGUCCUUACGCUUCCAUGUUCCUUUAUCUCAAGCUUCGGCAAUGCACGUCCCCGAAUCACCUGUUUAUUUGCGGCCUGCCAAUGCCUCAAGGGUGGUUCAGAGUCCAUCUUGCGACGGUGGUAGAAGGGUGCGGCCUACCAUCUCCCCUCUACACUCAGUGGCGCCACCAUGGGGUGGCGAGGGGUGGCUACUGCCACCCCAAAAUCAUUCUUUGCCACCCCAUUUGCCACCCCUAAGACAAUUUUUAUUAUGCAUAUUUAUUUAAAAUAUAUAAUGUAGUCUAGAUUAUAUUAUAAUGUAGUCCCCCGGCCAACAAUCGCUGCCCGGGAUGUUUAUAGAUUUGCUGUGGCCCCCAUUGGCCACCCCUGGAAUAAUCUUCUGGAGGCGCCACUGUCUACACUGGCCACUCCUCCCGGAUUGGAGCGGCAACCACAGCCGCUGAACAAGGGUUGCCGGUCGCGUCUAUCAAACGGCUGGGAAGGCGGUCUUCCACAGCUUACGAAUCCUACAUCCGGUUGAAUUCAUGGUUCUUCCUCCAAGCGCACGAUGCUCUAACGUCGGUUAAGGCAGGUUUAUCACGUUUGCUACUACAGCUGUUUUUGGCGGCCUGUUUCCAUUCUAGUUUUAGUCUUGGUGUCAUUUUUGUUUUUAUUAGUUUAGUCACGUUCAUACUCUUUCCAGUGAUAUCGAAAUUCCGUUUAGGUAUUAUCAAAGAUACAAGUGCGUAGAUUUGUUAAAUAAGGUAAACGGUCGAAAAUUGAUGUCGUUAUGUCUCUACAGUUGAAGUUCCAGUUGGACAAAAUAACGUAUUACAGUUUAUCGCCUAGUUUAGGUCAACGGAAAU